UAUUCUUUUAUUAAUUUCAUUUAAUCCGUAUUAAUCUUAACCGUUGGAUUAAAAUGAUCCAACGACUCCCGUUUCGUCCCCUGAAAUUGUUUUUCUCUUAUUAUGUCUCAAAAUAUCCUAAUCCAUCGAUCCAAUUGAUCCAAAGGCCCACAUGCAAAAAUUAAACCCCAAGAAUCUCAUCAUUACACCAUCACUCACGCUUGAUCACUCAUUAAAACCUUGCAUGCAUCUUCGAUUCAAGAAGAUUUGGAGUAAUCUCUUGACCUCUGCAUGACAUAUGAUAGUCCGGGGGUCAAACGCAAGGACCUCUAGGUAAAAUCUUUAUACGGAAGUUAAACGGCUUCAAACUGCUAGUUCUUUAUUAUCUUUAGAGGGUAAAAUCUUCACCUCUUUUUCCCUCUGAUUUUUCAUUUUAUUCCGAAUAUUUCAUCGUGAAAUGUUUCGUCAAUGUUCGUCACUAAUUAUUUUCUUUUAUUGUUUGAAUCUGAAAGUUCAAAAUCUCAAACCCUAAAUCCCCAAUUCUUUGGCUAUAAAUACCAGGCUUUAAUGCCCUUACCAAACACACGAAUCAAUAGAGUAAAUUCACUACACUGAGAAUUUCUAUCUGCUCACAGUCAUUCCAUCUUUUCUUUCUUUCAUUUCUGGUCGAGGCUAAUUGUGCUUGAGCUGACAACGGGUACAAAUCCUUAACGGCUAAAUCAAAACUUGGUUUGCUGCCCUAAGGAAGGUCACUAUAAUUCCUUUUUCGUCUACCUUAAUGUCUGAAUUUGUGUAUGUGAACCUGAUAGUGUUUUUUUAUGCUCGACCAUUUUGAUGUAUACUGAUUAAAGUUCAUAUUGACAGUCGUGUUUUCUUACCUUGUUAGCAUGAAUAUGAUAUGAAGCAUGUUAUGAGAUCUGUCUACUUAGCAUGUUAUAGUUCAUGACUUUAACACUGAUCUUGUUCUGUUUUUGUUAAACCUCUGGUGAUUUGAAGUCAUUUAUUUGCUUUGUUAGUAUUAGCAAUAUAUGAUAUUCCAUAUUGUCACAAGAUUUUCUUGUUGAUAUAGAUACUAUGCCUAUAAGGUUUUAUUUGUUUCAGUUAAAAACAAUCUGAUGAAGUUCACCCAGUCUUGUUCUAUUAGCUUUUCCUUAUCCUCUGUAGCAUGAUUCUUGUGAAACUAACUGUAAACUUGACAAUACUUAGCCUAGACUAUUAGAUAUCAUGUGAUGUUUGAGCAUUCUUCUAAUUUAUGUAUUUGUUAGCUCCCUAAAGCUAGUUUAGGUUCAUUUAGAUUUCCAAUUUCUGAUGACUUGGACUCAUUAAGUAUAGAAACCAUGUUCGAUGAAGGUUAUUAUUGUGUUCUCUAAUGCACUUGUCUAACCUUAGUAAAGUACCAGGCCUCUAUUGAACUUUAUUUAACGAGUACAUGUUUGAGUAUUUACCUCAUACUAAACUAUGGUUAGUAUCUUAAAUGACUUAGAUUAACUUGAAAUCAUCUUUAAUAUAGCAAUCAUGCUUACAGAGGUACACUGUUAGUAAUAUUUUAUUUGUAUGACUCUCAUUUCAUCAUUCUUCUUUAAAACAGUGAUUCCCAAGAGGAUUAUAUAUCUUAUUUCAUGCAAAGUGAUUAUAAAUUUCCUUGUGAGUCUUGAAACCUCUUAAAGAAUUUUCUGAGAUCCCAUGACCAUAUGUGAUAAUAUUGUUUUGUACGAUGUACUUCUAACUGUGAUUAGUUCACUACGAAUAUUUGAAAUCCAAAGCAUGUCUAGCACAUCGUUUGUUUAUGUCAUUUGCCUAUAUGAGUACUUCAGUCACAAUUGAUUUUCUGUUGACGAUUUGAGGCACUGUGCUAGACUCUCUGUGUUUUAUAAAUUUACUUGUAAGAAUUGUUUGAAUCUAUUUGGUCAGACUAUUGAUUGAAUAUCUAAGUUGAUAUUUUGGUUCAAAUCUUCAUGGAGGAAUAAAUAUCAGUGACUAUUGGCCUUUGCUGUGGAUUUGACUCUACUACAAGGAGUCCCUCCCUGGCAUAAGCAUUGCCGGGCCCUAAAGACCUUUGUGAACUCGAAAGUGCUAAGGGGUCAAAGGGAAAUCUUGUGAGGGGAGUGUGAUCCACUCUAGACAAUAGCUAUUGACUUUAACUAAUAUCUAGAGGGUUAUCACAAAAAUAACUUGACUUGCUUCGUUACUUUAGAUUAUAAUUAUAUUCAUAUGUUAUGUUUCUGCUUUUACAUUCUAUAUGCAAAUACUAAUUAAUUUUCUCUUCUCCUUUUGCAUGAGCACGGCCAGCGGAGUUCAUUGUGAACUCUGGCCCAAGUUCAAUGAACUGGGCCACCACUCUCCUCGCUGCAUUACUGUCGCUUAAGCCUGUUGCUAGUUGAUUUAACUGGGCCUGGUGCUUGUUAGCCCAUUAUAAGAGUCUGGCCCCCCCCCCCCCCCCCCCCCCCCCCUAAAACUUUUAUAUUAUUGAUGUUGUUAGCCCAUUUCCUUGGAUAUUGUAUAAUGAAACUAACAUUGUUAUUAUGUUUUCUUAUCUUUGCUGUGAUUGUUUAGGAAAGGAUCUUAGUGUAAACUAAUCUUGUAGGGUAAAAAGUAAAUACUAUCAGGAUAGCUUUUCACUUUAUAAGGCUAAAUAUUUUCAAAACUUGAGUAUGUAUCAAUUGUUUUAUCAAUUAAAUUCUCUUUCGUUCACUUGUAUUUUUUUCUAACACGUUUUCUGUUUAAACAUUAGCAAAAUCGAAUCAAGAUAAUUUUGAAAAAAGUCUUCAAUUGAUCAGUUAGGCAAACUUGGCAAAAAAACACAUUUUAAAAGGCGAUGCUGAAUAUAAAUUUGGUCUGGACUUCACAAGGAUAAAAUAUGGGAAAAUGACACUGUAUAGCCGUUGUAAAAAUAAUAACCGAAAGAAUAUAUAUAAUUUGUAUAAUUUUAUAUAUAUAUAUAUAUAUAUAUAUAUAUAUAUUUGGUAUGUUAUAUAUAAAAAUUAUACAAAUUUUAUAUACUUUUUCGACUAACAAAUAUAAAUAGUUUCUGGUACGUGCUAAAAGUGAUAAUACAUGUCGAAUAACUUAGACCAAAUGAGUCUUUUAAAACACAAUCAUGGUAUAGAUAUUUACACAUCUUGGUUCAUAAAAGGUUGAGAUUCGUAGAGUCAUAUUUUUACCAUCUUUAAACAAUUCUCAUUAUUUUAAAAAGAAUGGCCUUACAACUUAGUUUUGAAAUUAAACAUUCUUUUGUAAAUCGUAAACCUAUUUUAAAAAAUAAGUGUCUUUUUUUAAGACUAAACACUUUAUCACCUAAUUAAGCUUUCACAUAGACCCAUUUAGCAACCUUAAUCAUUGAUAGACUAGGAUAUAAAUAAUUCUCUCCCAGUCUUUAGCCUAAGUUUAAGGAACUACAUUAAUAUAGAUACUCAGGGAUGCCUAACACCUUCCCUUUUGAUUAACUAGAACCCUUACCCAGAUUCUCACUAGUUCAACAGAUCAUUAAGAUAUUAAUCUUUACUUACUCAUAGGUACCCUAGUAUAACUUUAAAUAUUAGGUGGUGACUCUACUUUUUAUUAACCUCAGAGGAACCACAAGUUGUAUUUUAUUUUGAACAGUACAAAAUAGGGUGCAAUAGAGCAUAUAAAGCUUUAGGAAACAUCACUUUCUUUCUUUCUCUAUCAUGCGAUUUUUUUCUAUCAUGUGCUUGAACCUUUCUUCUCUUAUUCAAUAACAGAUUGUGAGGAAUGUGCUUCGUCUGCUGCUGAGCAGGAGCAGGAGCCCCAGGUUUGUAAUCACUACCAGGGGUAGGGGCCGGGGUAAGGGAAAGGGCAAGGGCAAGGGCAAAUGCAGCGAUGGAGGAAGAGCUUAGCCUAGAGCACCCGCAACAUCACCCGCAGUCGAGCCUCAUAUAGCUCAAGAUGAUGAGGUCCCAGAUCAGGUUGAGCUAGUGGGACCGGCUCAGGCUCCGGAGGGGUUUAUUGCUACCAUAGUGCUUCAGGACGCCUUAGUCCGCAUGGUUGGUUUCAGGGAGAGUAUGGCUCAGGUCGAUGUGUAUUCUGUGGAACCCGUCGUUUCUUAGGCUGGGGGAGGAGUUUGGACUCCUCUACUCAAACUCCAGAGCAGAUGGCUCAUGGGUAUCAGACCUCAAGAGUUCUACUAGUUGGGGUGGUUUACACAUCCCAGGGUGUCACGACCCAAAAUCCACAAGUCGUGAUGGCACCUAACCCAACCCUCUAGGUAAGCCAAUAAUCAUAUAAUUAACAAUAAAAAUGAGAUAACAUGUUCUAAUAGCUCAACAUCGGAAUAAUGUCGUAGAAUAACUGAGAAUAUAGUCAAAAUGCUACUACAACCCAAGCCCAAAAUUUGGUGUCAACAAGUACACAUGCACUAUGAAUCAUAAAAUAUGGAAUAUAUACUCUGAUACAAAUGUUUGAACAUAUGAAAUAGUAAAGAUAAAGAUAACAGGAAGAGAGCUUCAAGGACUGCGGACGAAAUGGCAGCUAUCGCGUAGACUCCCAAGCAAGCUGGCAAAACUCAAGCCGAAAAAUCACCUCGACCGGAUGUACCUAGAUCUGCACAUGAAGUGCAGAGUGUAGUAUGAGUACAACCGACUCAAUGUAAUCAAUAAGUAACAUCACUAACCUUGGUUUGAAAGUAGUGACGAGCUGAGAACAACAGUCAAAUAAUAGUACCAAUAACCAAUAAUAGUUCAGAAAAUACAGGAUAAACCAUGGAACACAGUAAAUCAAUGAUAUCAAGUACAACCCGUCCUCAUUUCAGGAAUUUAGGCAUGUUUUCAAGUAUAACAGUUGAAAAUACAACACAGAUAAAGUAGGUCAAUUAACAGUUAGCAUGAUAAAAGUACAUCUCUAUGCCUACAUGUCAAGUAUACACAUAAAUCAAUAGUAUCACAGUAGAUACAUCAACAGUAUUUACACUUAGCACUGUACGAGUGCCUGGAAUAUCUGCCCAUCAUCAAGCACAUAUAUGAAACACUGUGCCUGCGCCCACUGCUGGCAUGUCAAACUUUGGAGGAGCGGAACCUGCCCAAGCGCUAAUUAUAAUCACUUAGCCCAAUAAUGAGGCCAGGUGUACACGUCGCCUCAAAACAAUAACACUCAGCCCAAUAUAGGCCUAGCGUACGUGUCUCCACAAAUUUUGUACAUAAGUCAUAAAUGACACUACGGACCUAUUCCAACUCCUGGAACCAAAGCCGAAUCCCGAUACCAACAAAGUCAACUCUCGGUCAAACUUUUCAACCUUCUAAACCUCCAACUUUCCAAAUUUCGCCAAUUCAAGCCUAAGUCCAAAAGUUCAAAAUCACCAUAUGAAGCUAUCGGAACCAUCAAAACUUCAUUCCGGAGUCGUCUAUAAAAAAGUUAAACUCUGGUGAACUCUUUCAGUUUAAGCCUUCAACUUUGGGACUAAAUAUCCAAUUUCACUACUAACUAUCCCCGAAACCAAAUCAACCACUUCGAAAAGUCACAUAACUAUAAUUAAACGUAUAAGAAGCGAUAAAUAGGGGAACGGGGCUACAAUAAUCGAAAUGACCGGCCGGGUUAUUAUAUUCUCCCCCUCUUAAACAAACAUUCGUCCUCAAACGGGUCUAGAAUCAUACCUGGAGUCUUAAAUAAGUAUGGAUAGCUGCUCCGCAUCUCUUCCUCGGUCUCCCAAGUAGCCUACUCGACUGGCUGACCUCUCAAUUGAACUUUUACUGAAGUUAUAUUCUUUGAUCUCAACUUUCGAACUUGCCGUUCCAAAAUGGCCAUCGGCUCCACAUCACAAGUCAAAUUCCCAUCUAACUGAACCGUGCUGAAAUCUUAAACAUGAGACGGAUCACCAUAAUACUUUCGCAGAAUAGAAACAUAGAACACUUGCUGAACACCCGAUAGAUUGGGUGGCAAUGCAAGUUUGUAGGCCACCUCUCCAAUCCUCUCAAGAACCUCAAAAGUACCAAUAUACCGAUGGAUCAACUAUCCCUUCUUCUCGAACCUCAUCACAUCCUUCAUGGGUGAUACUUUGAGAAAAACCUUCUCUCCCACCAUAUAUGCAACAUCAUGAACCUUCCGAUCAGCGUAACUCUUCUGUCUAGACUGUGCCGUGCGAAGCCGAUCCUGAAUUAACUUGACCUUUUCCAAGGCAUCCUGAACCAGAUCCAUGCCAAACAACCUAGCCUCCCCC
rnacentral:lncRNA from 1 species